GGUGCGUUAGUUCAGUUGGUUAGAAUACAUGCCUGUCACGCAUGGGGGUCACGGGUUCGAGUCCCGUACGCAUUG
rnacentral:tRNA from 1 species